rnacentral:rRNA from 1 species
UGGGGAAUAUUGCACAAUGGGGGAAACCCUGAUGCAGCGACGCCGCGUGGAGGAAGAAGGCCCUCGGGUUGUAAACUCCUGUCCUUGGGGACGAUAAUGACGGUACCCAAGGAGGAAGCACCGGCUAACUACGUGCCAGCAGCCGCGGUAAAACGUAGGGCGCAAGCGUUGUCCGGAAUUACUGGGUGUAAAGGGAGCGCAGGCGGAUCGACAAGUUGGAAGUGAAACGCACGGGCUCAACCCGUGACCUGCUUUCAAACUGCCGGUCUUGAGUGGUGUAGAGGUAGGCGGAAUUCCCGGUGUAGCGGUGGAAUGCGUAGAUAUCGGGAGGAACACCAGUGGCGAAGGCGGCCUACUGGGCACUAACUGACGCUGAGGCUCGAAAGCAUGGGUAGCAAACAGGAUUAGAUACCC